rnacentral:rRNA from 1 species
GACGAACGCUGGCGGCGUGCCUAAUACAUGCAAGUAGAACGCUGAAGAGAGGAGCUUGCUCUUCUUGGAUGAGUUGCGAACGGGUGAGUAACGCGUAGGUAACCUGCCUUGUAGCGGGGGAUAACUAUUGGAAACGAUAGCUAAUACCGCAUAACAAUGGAUGACACAUGUCAUUUAUUUGAAAGGGGCAAUUGCUCCACUACAAGAUGGACCUGCGUUGUAUUAGCUAGUAGGUGAGGUAACGGCUCACCUAGGCGACGAUACAUAGCCGACCUGAGAGGGUGAUCGGCCACACUGGGACUGAGACACGGCCCAGACUCCUACGGGAGGCAGCAGUAGGGAAUCUUCGGCAAUGGGGGCAACCCUGACCGAGCAACGCCGCGUGAGUGAAGAAGGUUUUCGGAUCGUAAAGCUCUGUUGUAAGUCAAGAACGAGUGUGAGAGUGGAAAGUUCACACUGUGACGGUAGCUUACCAGAAAGGGACGGCUAACUACGUGCCAGCAGCCGCGGUAAUACGUAGGUCCCGAGCGUUGUCCGGAUUUAUUGGGCGUAAAGCGAGCGCAGGCGGUUUGAUAAGUCUGAAGUUAAAGGCUGUGGCUCAACCAUAGUUCGCUUUGGAAACUGUCAAACUUGAGUGCAGAAGGGGAGAGUGGAGUUCCAUGUGUAGCGGUGAAAUGCGUAGAUAUAUGGAAGAACACCGGUGGCGAAAGCGGCUCUCUUGUCUGUAACUUGACGCUGAGGCUCGAAGCCUGGGGGGCGAACAGG